rnacentral:lncRNA from 1 species
UGUUUUAAAAAGUUUUAUUUUAAUUGCAUUUCAAACACAAGAUGGGCAUUCAACUCCCAACGCAUAACCUCUCUCUUAGACCCAAGCCCCUCCUACUGUAUUUGGUAAACGGGUAAAGGAUUGGCUUACCUCAGGCUCUUCCCUAGGUUAAAAAAAAAAAUGAUUUCAUAGUUCUUAAACAUAGCCACGCCCAUCCCCUGGAACCAGUCCCGGUGUGGUUUGUAGGUUGUCCAUCUUCUUGUUCUGGAGUUGCUUGGUGAACUGGCUGUGUCUCUUCUCGGACCACUUCUGGCCACGCUUCCCCGCGUUUUCCUUGCGGUCCUGUCUGCGCUUCUCCGCCAAGGCGACCUUCUUGACCUUGGGGCUGAAGGAGCCUCUGAACUGGGGGCUCUCGGAUCCGAAGACGCAGCCUCGGAAGGCCCUGACGAGGAAGUUGGGGAGCAAGUUGCUCCGGGGCUUUCGGUGGCGGCGGUUUCGCUUGGACGAAAACCAGCGGCGGCAUCCGAAGGUCCCAUCGUCGGAUUCGUCUUCGCUGUCGCUGCUGACCGAUAUCUGAUCGUUGUAGAGGUAGCAGCAGCUGGGCUCUGACCUGCCCCGCCAGGCAGAUGCGCGCGGAGGCUGCGGAACAGGCGGAUCGGCAGCCUGGAUCUCCGGGCUGGGGGGUCUAAGGAAACUGAUCUCGGGUCGCGCUCCCGAGGUGGGCUUUGCCCAGGUGAUAGGAGUGGCCCGGGGGACGGAGGCUGCCCGGGGGACGGAGGCUGCCCGGGGGACAGUGGCUGCCCGGGGGACAGUGGCUGCCCGGGGGACAGGAGCCGCCCGGCCAACAGGGGCUCCCCUGGUGACAAGAGCGGCCGGGGCUGCCCCAGCGGCAGGAGCGGCUGGGGCGGCAGGGGCGGCAGGAGCGGCUGGGGCAGCAGGAGCGGCAGGGGCUGCUCCGGCGGCAGGGGGUUCUGGAGCAGCCGAGGCUGCCUCGGCGGCUGGAGCGGCCAGUGCUGCCUCGGCGGCGGCGGCAGGGGCUCCGUCCCCGGGAUCGGGGACCUUGCCUCCCUCUGCGGCUGUGGUGGCUGAGCCUCCCUCCAUCUCGGCUGCUUCUCCCUCGGCUGGGGGUCUCUCUCCCUCUGCUUGCUCUCUCUCAACGGGAGCUCCGGAGACCUCGAUGCGCAGAUCAUCAAGCGCGACUGGGGGGCUGUCCAUGUCGCCGGGAGCGUCAUCGACCCCAACGGGGGCGCUGCCAACCUCGCGCGGGGGUCUGGAGACCUCCAUCGGGGGGCUGUCUCCCGCGAAGUGUGGAAGAGGUCUG